AAUUUUGAGCAAUGGAUCACUCGGCUCACGGGUCGAUGAAGAACGCAGCCUGCGAGACUUUAUGUAAAUUGCAGGACACAUAGAGCCCUGACUUUUCGGACUCGCAUUGCGGUCUCGGGUAAUACCCGGGACCUCGCCUGUCUGAGGGUCG
rnacentral:rRNA from 1 species